UACGAGGGGGGCGAGCGUUGUUCGGAAUUAUUGGGCGUAAAGGGUGCGUAGGCGGUUUGGUAAGUCUUAUGUGAAAUCUACAGGCUCAACUUGUAGUCUGCAUGAGAAGCUGCCGGGCUUGAGUAUGGGAGAGGUGAGUGGAAUUCCUGGUGUAGCGGUGAAAUGCGUAGAUAUCAGGAGGAACACCUGUGGCGAAAGCGGCUCACUGGACCAUAACUGACGCUGAUGCACGAAAGCUAGGGGAGCAAACAGG
rnacentral:rRNA from 1 species